rnacentral:misc_RNA from 1 species
UUCAAACAGCAGGUAAUUGCUAUAAGUCGUUGAAGAGUUCCCUCGACUAUCUUUCGUCUCCAUCAUCAGACUGUAAUGGCACUUGUAACUCAUAUAGGUGCAAAGUUCUCAUCAAUAGAAACGAAUUAAGUUCAAAAACCAGGUAAUUGCUAUAAAUUGUUGAGGAGUUCCCUCUACUAUCUUUCUUCUCCAUCAUCAGAUCGACUCCAGACCUUUAUUAAAUAGUAGUGCUUUAUAGUACCUAAUGAAAACAUGAUUAAAUUUACUAGUCACCCUUAC